rnacentral:rRNA from 1 species
ACAGUGGACGCGAGCAUCUUUGUUGUAAGUGUUUAAGAGCGUACGGUGGAUGCCUUGGCACCAGGAGCCGAUGAAGGACGUAGGAGGCUGCGAUAAGCCUCGGGGAGCUGUCAACCGAGCUGAGAUCCGAGGAUGUCCGAAUGGGGAAACCCAGCCACAGUGAUGUGUGGUUACCCGCGCCUGAAUAUAUAGGGCGUGUGGAGGGAACGUGGGGAAGUGAAACAUCUCAGUACCCACAGGAAGAGAAACAACAUGUGAUUCCGUGAGUAGUGGCGAGCGAAAGCGGAAGAGGCUAAACCAUGGGUGUGUGAUAGCCGGCGGGCGUUGCAUUCGUGGGGUUGUGGGAUCCGUCUUGUCAAUUCUGCCGGAUUGGCCGACAGUGAGAAAUCAUCGUGUUAGUCGAAGUGGUCUGGAACGGCCUGUCGUAGAGGGUGAGAGUCCCGUAGACGAAAACAUGGUGACUGUCGUGACGGACACCCGAGUAGCAGCGGGCCCGUGAAAUCUGCUGUGAAUCUGUCGGGACCACCCGAUAAGCCUGAAUACUCCCUGGUGACCGAUAGCGGACUAGUACCGUGAGGAAAGGUGAAAGUACCCCGGGAGGGGAGUGAAAUAGUACCUGAAACCGUGCGCUUACAAUCCGUCAGAGCCUGCGCCACUUUUGGUGGGUGGGUGAUGGCGUGCCUUUUGAAGAAUGAGCCUGCGAGUUAGCGGCAUGUCGCGAGGUUAACCCGUGUGGGGUAGCCGUAGCGAAAGCGAGUCCGAAUAGGGCGUUUGUAGUGGCAUGUUCUAGACCCGAAGCGGAGUGAUCUACCCAUGGCCAGGGUGAAGCGACGGUAAGACGUCGUGGAGGCCCGAACCCACUUAGGUUGAAAACUGAGGGGAUGAGCUGUGGGUAGGGGUGAAAGGCCAAUCAAACUCCGUGAUAGCUGGUUCUCCCCGAAAUGCAUUUAGGUGCAGCGUCGCGUGUUUCACUCUGGAGGUAGAGCUACUGGAUGGCCGAUGGGCCCACAAGGUUACUGACGUCAGCCAAACUCCGAAUGCCAGAGUGUGAGAGCGCGGCAGUGAGACUGCGGGGGAUAAGCUUCGUAGUCGAGAGGGAAACAGCCCAGAUCGCCGGCUAAGGCCCCUAAGCGUGUACUAAGUGGAAAAGGAUGUGGGGUCGCGAAGACAACCAGGAGGUUGGCUUAGAAGCAGCCACCCUUGAAAGAGUGCGUAAUAGCUCACUGGUCAAGUGAUCCUGCGCCGACAAUGUAGCGGGGCUCAAGUACACCGCCGAAGCCGCGGCAUUCACAUAACACCCAUGCGGGUCUACGGGCCUGUGUGCAGUGGUGUGGAUGGGUAGGGGAGCGUCGUGCAGCCAUGGAAGCGCCGGAGUGAUCCAGGUGUGGAGGCUGCACGAGUGAGAAUGCAGGCAUGAGUAGCGAAAGACGAGUGAGAAACUCGUCCGCCGAAUGACCAAGGGUUCCUGGGCCAGGUUAAUCCGCCCAGGGUGAGUCGGGACCUAAGGCGAGGCCGACAGGCGUAGUCGAUGGACAACGGGUUGAUAUUCCCGUACCCGUGUGAACGCGCCCCUGGUGAAUCAGUGAUGCUAAGCGCCCUGAAGCCGCCUUCGAACCUUCGGGUUCUCCGGUGUGUGGAUGCGCGUGAACCGAUCUGGUAGUAGCCAAGCGAUGGGGUGACGCAGGAAGGUAGCUGAGCCAGUCAGUGGUAAUACUGGUGUAAGCGUGUAGGGCGUGACCUAGGCAAAUCCGGGUCACAUACAGCCUGAGACGUGAUGCGUAGCCGAUUGAGGCGAAUUCAGUGAUCCUAUGCUGCCGAGAAAAGCCUCUAGCGAGCUUUCACACGGCCCGUACCCCAAACCGACACAGGUGGUCAGGUAGAGAAUACUAAGGCGAUCGAGAUAACUGUGGUUAAGGAACUCGGCAAAAUGCCCCCGUAACUUCGGGAGAAGGGGGGCCUCGUCUGGUGACGGAACUUGCUUCCUGAGCUGGGUGGGGCCGCAGAGACCAGAGAGAAGCGACUGUUUACUAAAAACACAGGUCCGUGCGAAGUCGUAAGACGAUGUAUACGGACUGACGCCUGCCCGGUGCUGGAAGGUUAAGAGGACCGGUUAGCCAGUAAUGGCGAAGCUGAGAAUUUAAGCCCCAGUAAACGGCGGUGGUAACUAUAACCAUCCUAAGGUAGCGAAAUUCCUUGUCGGGUAAGUUCCGACCUGCACGAAUGGCGUAACGACUUCUCUGCUGUCUCAACCACAGACUCGGCGAAAUUGCAUUACGAGUAAAGAUGCUCGUUACGCGCGGCAGGACGAAAAGACCCCGGGACCUUCACUAUAGCUUGGUAUUGGUGUUCGGUUCGGUUUGUGUAGGAUAGGUGGGAGACUGUGAAGCGGGCACGCCAGUGUUCGUGGAGUCGUUGUUGAAAUACCACUCUGAUCGUAUUGGACAUCUAACCUCGGACCAUGAUCUGGUUCAGGGACAGUGCCUGGUGGGUAGUUUAACUGGGGCGGUUGCCUCCCAAAAUGUAACGGAGGCGCCCAAAGGUUCCCUCAGCUGGUUGGCAAUCAGGUGUCGAGUGCAAGUGCACAAGGGAGCUUGACUGUGAGACUGACAGGUCGAGCAGGGACGAAAGUCGGGACUAGUGAUCCGGCACCGGCAAGUGGAAGCGGUGUCGCUCAACGGAUAAAAGGUACCCGGGGAUAACAGGCUGAUCUUCCCCAAGAGUCCAUAUCGACGGGAUGGUUUGGCACCUCGAUGUCGGCUCGUCGCAUCCUGGGGCUGGAGUAGGUCCCAAGGGUUGGGCUGUUCGCCCAUUAAGCGGCACGCGAGCUGGGUUU